rnacentral:rRNA from 1 species
CCAAUAGCGUAUAUUAAAGUUGUUGCAGUUAAAAAGCUCGUAGUUGAAUUUCGGGAUCAAUACGUCGGUCGUGCCUCCGGUAUGUACUGGCGUUGUUGGUUUCUCCUUUCUGAGGAGCCAUGAUGCCAUUAAUUUGGUGUGGUGGGGAAUCAGGACUGUUACUUUGAAAAAAUUAGAGUGUUUAAAGCAGGCACACGCUUGAAUACAUUAGCAUGGAAUAAUGAAAUAGGACGUUCGAUUCUAUUUUGUUGGUUUCUAGGAUCAACGUAAUGAUUAAUAGGGAUAGUUGGGGGCAUUAGUAUUCAAUUGUCAGAGGUGAAAUUCUUGGAUUUAUUGAAGACUAACUACUGCGAAAGCAUUUGCCAAGGAUGUUUUCAUUAAUCAAGAACGAAAGUUAGGGGAUCGAAGACGAUCAGAUACCGUCGUAGUCUUAACCAUAAACUAUGCCGACUAGGGAUCGGAUGAUGUUAAUUUUUUAAUGACUCAUUCGGCGCCUUACG